rnacentral:rRNA from 1 species
GUAAGGAAUAUUGGUCAAUGGACGAAAGUCUGAACCAGCCAUGCCGCGUGGAGGAUGAAGGUCCUCUGGAUUGUAAACUUCUUUUAUAUGGGACGAAAAUGGGGCUUUCUAGCUCAACUGACGGUACCAUAUGAAUAAGCACCGGCUAACUCCGUGCCAGCAGCCGCGGUAAUACGGAGGGUGCAAGCGUUAUCCGGAUUCACUGGGUUUAAAGGGUGCGUAGGUGGAUUGGUAAGUAAGAGGUGAAAUCUCCGGGCUCAACUCGGAAACUGCCUUUGAUACUAUCAAUCUUGAAUAUUGUGGAGGUUAGCGGAAUAUGUCAUGUAGCGGUGAAAUGCUUAGAUAUGACAUAGAACACCAAUUGCGAAGGCAGCUGGCUACACAUAUAUUGACACUGAGGCACGAAAGCGUGGGGAUCAAACAGGAUUAGAUACCCCAGUAGUCC